AAUGAAAUGCCUGAUUUAAAAGGAUUAUUUUGAUAGAAUAAAUCAUGUAGAAUUUCCUACUUUCAUUA
rnacentral:tRNA from 1 species